rnacentral:rRNA from 1 species
GAUGAACGCUGGCGGCGUGCCUAAUACAUGCAAGUCGAGCGAACAGACGAGGAGCUUGCUCCUUUGACGUUAGCGGCGGACGGGUGAGUAACACGUAUGUAACCUACCUAUAAGACUGGGAUAACUUCGGGAAACCGGAUCUAAUACCGUAUAAUAUUUCGAACCGCAUGGUUCGAUAGUGAAAGUUGGCUUUGCUAGCAGUUAUAGAUGGACCUGCGCCGUAUUAGCUAGUUGGUAAGUUAACGGCUUACCAAGGCAACGAUACGUAGCCGACCUGAGAGGGUGAUCGGCCACACUGGAACUGAGACACGGUCCAGACUACUAAGGGAGGCAGCAGUAGGGAAUCUUCCGCAAUGGGCGAGAGCAUGACGGAGCAAGGCCGAGUGAGUGAUGAAGGUCUUCGGAUCGUAUAACUCUGUUAUUAGGGAAGAACCACCGUGUAAGUAAAUGUGCACGUCUUGACGGUACCUAAUCAGAAAGCCACGGCUAACUACGUG